UGCACCACCCCACUUGGGUUAGGGAGAAGCAGCCAAAGAAGUUCUCCCAAGGAAGGAGACCUCGUCGCAGAAAGAUGCGAGGACAUUCAACAGGAAAUACUGUGUAGACGUUUGUCUCUCCCACCGGCCUACUGCUCCCUUUCUGGGUUUGAGCCACUUCUUUUAGAUCUAAAAAAAAUGCCUGUUUUAAUCUGUAACAGUCCCCGUUUCUCCUCUGCUCUUUUGCAGUUCAUUUAGUUGUCAAAGAACCUGAAACAUUUAUCUUAUAGAAGUUCCCAAUUUCUGGAUUUGAGUUAUUGCUUCUUCAGGGGGUCUGGAUCCUUUCUCUGCCCCCAGUAUUUCGUGGAAAGCGGUAGUUUCAUCAUCAUCAUUAUCACGUUACUACCAAGUCAUCCCAAUGUAGUUGGAAAGAACAUGCAUUGCAAUCUCAUGUUGUUGCUUGAGUUUGGGAAGUGAUUCCAUUACAAAGAAAAUGCAUGGACCUAUGCAGUAGCCAAGAAGGGCCAGCCCUGCAGCUGCAUUUAGAGCAGGGAGUUUCUGGAAACAGACCUUUCUGACGGUAAACUCCAACAAAGCAGAAAAUACAAGAAAAUGAUUAAGAGCAUGAACUUUGUAGCCAUGCCUGGAUUCAUACCUUGGACCAGCCCAGCUGAGUGACCUUGGAAAAUCUCCCGAACGUCUCUGAACUUUAACUUCCUUCUCAGUCAGAGGGCAAUCACAGCAGCACGUAUCUCCGAGGGCUGUUGGGAACAGCCAGUGAUUAAGACCGAGGACAAGGCCUGGAUGAGUAACAGGGUCCGCACAUCUCCACCACUGUUCCACCCUGUUCCAGCUGGGGAAGACGCAGGCUCAUUAGCGAACAAGAUAAGCCUCCUGGUGACUGAGGGGCGGGCCAGCUGGACCAGUGAGAGGUCGAACGGCUGCUCAGUGCCUCUGGAACAGGACCUCAGCAUCACCCCACACCCAGGGGGAGGAAGGAGAGUGACCAAAACUACAGAGCCAGCACCACCACCAGCCUGUCCUUGGAGCCAUCCUGCAGGGAAGACCCAGUCUGAGCAAACACUGUCCCAAUAUCAGAAUCCACUUUCCACAUCAAGAUCACCCAGUAAGCAAUCUAAAUAGUGAGUAAAGAGACCAGAGCUUUCUUCUGCCCCUUUCCCUCUCCUCCACCCCCAGGCAUACCCACCCCCCAUCAAAAGGAUACCUUCCCC